rnacentral:rRNA from 1 species
UACAGAGGCCUCGAGCGUUAGGCGGAAUCACUGGGCUUAAAGCGUGUGUAGGCGGAUGCCUAAGUACCUUGUGAAAUCCCACGGCUCACCCGUGGAACGGCUGGGUAUACUGGGUGUCUUGAGCCACUUAGGGGCUGCCGGAACAAAUGGUGGAGCGGUGAAAUGCGUAGAGAUCCGGAGGAACACCAAAGGCGAAGGCAGUGUCCUGGGGAGUACCUGACGCUCAGGUGCGAAAGCCAGGGGAGCGAACGGG